rnacentral:lncRNA from 1 species
GAAACACCUCUUGAAGGUGUCGCUCCUGAGCCCUCUGACGGGCUCGAAGUUCCAAGACUUCAGCUCGUGAGGCAGCCAGCUGUUGCUGCAGGGUUUCAUUGGUUCUCCGGGUCCGUUCCAUGUCUUCUUCAAGACGGCGGAUGCGGACUGUGUUGACACCUGAGUUGGCAUCAAUCUCCAUGACCCGGUCGAUGGCUGCUCGACCUUGCUCGACAUUACGAGCUAUUCUGCGGAUAAUGACAGGCAGAGCUCGGUCAGCAGAGCCACCAUCGCUGACGUUGUAAAAGCUUCGGUCCCCAAAGUAUGGUAAGGGUUGACCCUGUUCAUCACUCCAGCGAUUCAAGUUGUUUGCCCACAAGGGAGUAGGACCUGGAAAAGCUGGUCGAGGGUUGUUGUUCGGGGCUUGACCUACUAGCGGUAGGUUGUUGACUUCAGGCUCGGAGUCGGAUCCAUCAGAAAAGCCUUCUGCGAGGUGAUCAUCCAAAGGGAUUGGAUGCUCAUCUUCGGGCUCUUCUUCGAUCCACCCGGCAUUGCCUUCAUUUGGAAAGUACGGGUCGCCGUGAUGGAAUCCAGCCAUUUAAAUCUACGCGAGAAGAGAGGUAUAAGAAUAUAGUAUACAUGUAACUAGUAGUACAAAAUACACCUAUAGUAUUUUAAGUUUAAGUUCUACUGAUCUUCUUGUGGUAUUGUUGGUAAGUUUUUAGACUUGUUAACAUAUCACAACCAUUCUAGGGCAUAUGCUAAUCACUCCUAGGACCAGCAUAGUUGAUCAGGCUAUGCCAUUCCCAGGACUGACCAUACAUCCCCGAGCUCACUUGUGAUAUUUAACAAUCGUAAUACUUUUGUUCUUGUCAUUGUGACACUGAUUUUAGUAUGAACGCAGACUUGUAUACUUAAUUAAAUAUUUUAAUAUUUAAAGUAUAGACUCUUGGUCAGAGUUCUUUAAUCCCUAAUGGGUUUAUAGUUUAGUAUAUCUUUUAUGGGUUGAUAUACUUGAUUCACUAUAAACAAUGCUCUGAUAGCAAUCUGUCACACCCCAAAACCAAGAACGGCGGAAACGUUCUGGGGCGGAGGACGUCAUGUAAAGUAUCACAACACAGUAAAUGUAAAUAAGCAAACAACAUCAUCCAUUGCAUUAAAUAUAUAAUUUUAAUACAAGCGUGUUCUGUACAGUUAUAGACACCAAAAUAAUGUAAAUCAAAAUAAUAAGAUGAGUCUUGGAUGUGCUCCAUCUGCUCAAAAGCUGGCCUCGGUACUUGUCUACUGAUGACCUGAUAAUACAAGUUAUUUUGAAAGAGUUUAUCAGCAUUAAGCUGGUGAGUUCAUAAGUAUUUUAGUGUCGGUGUUUGUCAUCAAAAACGUUUGAACCUGUCUCAAGUAUAAGUUGUAAAAUGUAAGCAAUUGUUUGUAAGUGUUUGUAAAAGUUUGAAUUUCUCAGAAAAACCUAUAUUUUCUAUUAAAGUAGCCUUCUACCAAGGCUUAACUGUUUUGUAUGCUCGUUUGUUGUAAAAGUGUGUAAUUUCCCAAGUGUAACUAUCAUUUAACAAAAAUAGUUUGUACAUUAAUGUUUAAGUGAGGUUAUCACUAAAAAUAUGUAAUGGGUAAAUCAUUGUAGUACUGUAGUUUUGUAUUAUAGGAACUACUGUUGUACUAACUACCUUAAACCGGAUUUAUAUUAAGGUAUAAUGUGAUAAUUGCACCAUACUAUCGACUGGUAACAACGACAUAAGAAUGGUCGUAAUAACGGAAUGACGUUUGGCACCCGCAGACCUGCAGGUCCGGCUGUAGCUAGCAGCAAGGUGUAGGAUAGUCAAUCCAGUAUAGAUCUAUACGCAAACUCACGCUCUCCCUCCAAGAGAAUUCUGGCUACAACUCGGGCCAUGACAUUUAAGGCAUGCUCCGACACAGUGGAUCACAAUUGUUAACGUAUUCUUGUAUAUGUAAUAUAAUGUUUCUCGUUCUAGUAUAGUUGUAUAUGUUCUCCUCCUAGUAUAGUUGUAUAUGUUCCCUUUCUAGUAUAGUUGUAUAUGUUCUCCUUCUAGUAUAGUUGUAUAUGUUCUCUUUCUAGUAUAGUUGUAUAUGUUGUCUUUCUAGUAUAGUUGUAUAUGUUCUCAUAGUAACGUAAUGUAUAGACUCAUGAAUGAACUGACUCAUUGAUCUAGAAGUUGUAAUAGUAUGAUCCUGUGUUACCCCGAUGGUAACUCACUAAUGAUGUGUCUAGUACGCAUGAAUAUGGAAGUACUUUUAUGUCUAUAUAGGUAUAUUUGAUAUAUAAUUAAUAUUGAAACGACCUUCGGAUGGUCACCCGAAAUCCCACCAGACCACAUCCAAAUCGAGAAAAAGGAAAUAGGGCGGAUGGCCUUCCUAAGCCCUUUAAACAUUGNCUAUAAGUUUAUAAAGAUUAGAAAAAUGGUAAGAAUCAAUUUGUAGGCAACGUGAGAGUGACACAUGGACUAACUAACCAUAGCCCAACAGUUGAAUGAGUGUUUGAGAGUACAACAAGGAAUAUUAGUAGGAAAACACAAAUAUACAGAUUUUUCCCACAAAUUAGAUAGAUGUUAGUAACACUGGUAUUACUGAUGUAAUUAAGUUCAGGGAAAAUCGACCUAACAGUAGGUGUUACAUCAUACCAUAUAGAAAAGUUUGACAGUUCUUAGAUUCCUAAUUAGAGUACUGAAAGUUAGGAAUAUUUUACAGACAAGUGCUACUUAGAGCACAGAUGUUAAAGGCUAUUCCUUAACCAAUAGACAGAGAUGUACUAGACAUCAUCUAACGGCGAUGGGAAUUUCUCGGGCGAGCCCUGAGGUCUGACACUUGACGAAACACCUCUUGAAGGUGUCGUUCCUGAGCCCUCUGACGGGCUUGAAGUUCCAAGACUUCAGCUCGGGAGGCAGCCAGCUGUUGUUGCAGGGUUUCAUUGGUUCUCCGGGUCCGUUCUAUGUAUUCUUCAAGACGGCGAAUGCGGACUGUGUUGACACCAGAGUUGGCAUCAAUCUCCAUGACCCGGUCGAUGGCUGCUCGACCUUGCUCAACAUUACGAGCUAUUCUGCGGAUAAUGACGGGCAGAGCUCGGUCAGCAGAACCACCUUCACUGACGUUGUAAAAGC